ACGUAGGAGACGAGCGUUAUCCGGAUUUACUGGGCGUAAAGCGCGUGCAGGCGGUUUUUUAAGUCACUUGUGAAAGCGCCCGGCUCAACUGGGCGAGGCCGUGUGAGACUGAAAAACUGGAGAGAGGUAGAGGCGAAUGGAAUUCCGGGUGUAGUGUGAGAUGCGUAGAUAUCCGGAGGAAUACCAGUGGCGAAGGCGGCACCCUGGGCCAUAACUGACUCUAAGACGCGAAAGCAUGGGUAGCGAACGG
rnacentral:rRNA from 1 species